GCCGGGCGUGGUGCCGGGCGCCUGUAGUCCCAGCUACUUGGGAGGCUGAGGCAGGAGAAUGGCGUGAACUCGGGAGGUGGAGCUUGCUGUGAGUUGAGAUUGCACCGAUGCACUCCAGCCUGGGCGACAGAGCGAGACUCCAUUUCUUUUUUUGUUGUUGUUGUUUUUGGUUUUUUUUUGAGACAGAGUCUCGCUCUGCCGCCCAGGCUGGAGUGCAGUGGCGUGAUCUUGGCUCACUGCAAGCUCCGCCUCCCGGGUUCACGCCAUUCUCCUGCCUCAG
rnacentral:SRP_RNA from 1 species